GUUAGGAAUAUUGGACAAUGGGCGAAAGCCUGAUCCAGCCAUGCCGCGUGAACGAUGAAGGCCUUCGGGUUGUAAAGUUCUUUGGCCGAUGAUUAUAAUGACUGUAGUCGGAAAAUAAGCCCCGGCUAACUUCGUGCCAGCAGCCGCGGUAAUACGAAGGGGGCGAGCGUUAUUCGGAAUCACUGGGCGUAAAGCGUGCGUAGGCGGUUUUGUAAGUUAGGAGUGAAAGCCCAGGGCUCAACCUUGGAAUUGCUCUUAAAACUGCAAGGCUCGAAUCUCGGAGAGGAUAGCGGAAUUUCCAGUGUAGCAGUGAAAUGCGUAGAUAUUGGAAGGAACACCAGUGGCGUAAGCGGCUAUCUGGACGAGUAUUGACGCUGAGGCACGAAAGCGUGGGGAUCAAACAGGAUUAGAAACCCUAGUAGUCC
rnacentral:rRNA from 1 species